UCCAAUUAUCUCCCAUUAGGCCCCUCCUCCAACAUUGGGGAUCAUAAUUUGACAUGAGAUUUGGGUAGGGACAAAAAUCCAACCAUAUCAAGAUUCAUCCACAUUAUAACAUGUAUCAGAAGUUUAUUCCUUUUUAUGGCUGAGUAAUAUUUCAUAAUAUUUCAUUGUAUAGAUAUACCACAUUUUAGUUCUUUCAUUUUCUUGAAGCACCGAAGUUUUAUCUUUUCUACUAGAGUAUAACUAUUUUAAAGAGAGGGAUUUUACCCCUUACUAAGCUUUUAUUUUUCACCCCAUAGAAUGCAGCACCUGCAACAUAAUAGACAUUCAAUAUUGUUGAACUGAUGCUACAGAAGUCAAUGUGGAAAAAAUGAGUUCAGCAUGUUUGUGAUUUUGAUAGAGUGGAGGUUGUUUAGGGAAGAGAGGAAAGGGAAAGUGAGAGAAGUGGUUUCAUGUACUAGAUUGAAUGAGUAUGAACUUAAAAGGACAAAAUAAAGAAGAGACAUGAAGCCCCUUAAUAGUGCGCAGAGGAUCUUUGGCGAGAAGAAGGCUCAUAGAUAGAGUGGGAACAGCCAAAAGGAGACACUCAUAGACCAACACAGGCAGUUUGAGUAAGAGCCAAAGUGUUAGAGUACCCAUCACAGAUUACAUAGAAAAUUUUGGCAGAGAUAACUGUGUACAUAGUUUUGUUCCUUUAGUUUGUACUGUAGGGAUAUCCUGAAAUUACUGGGUUUGACUGUAAAACUAGUUCAUAACUGAAACUUUCUGUAACUUGUCACUGCCCUCAUCACCAUCAUCACUGUUGUCACCACCACCACCACCGUCAUCAUCAUGAACAUUUAUCAAACACCUAUUAAAAUUUCAUGAAAAAUAGCCAUUUCCUGGUGCCCAGGGCACUGUGUGACAACAUUUUACAUGAGUUAUUUCAUUAGUCUUCUUAAUAAUCCUGUGAGGCAGGACCUAUUAAUAUCACCAGUUUUACAUAUGGGAAAAAUGAGGUUGGAAUUUGAACUGCAUUGGAUUGACUCUGUUGCCUAUAUAUUUUCUAAAGUAGUUUUUAGUUGAAGCUCUCAAACUUUUAGUUUUAUUUCGCCUUCAGUCUAUUUCGACUUCAUGCUGAUUUCAUUUUUAUGAUGGUUUGUAUCAUUGUCAACAAAUAUUCAUACCCCUUCCACUCCCAUUGUGGGUGCUUUCUACCCCACUAACUUGGGCUCACGUGACUGACCACAGCCAGUGGAAUAGUAGGAGACAUCAUGUAAGCAGAGGCCUUAAACGUGCUUGCAACCUUUGGCUUGCCUUUCAGGCACUGGUGAUCCAUAAGAAGAGGAUGCCCAAAUAGCCACUGCCCCUUUAGUUGUGACCUUAGAAUGAAUACAUAUGGAGCCAAUUUGAGACAACCCCUCUGGGGCCAACACAGCUGAUUUUCAACCUGAAGGUCACUCCGAUCAGCUCAGCUAUGCCAAUCCAUGAGCAUGAUAAUCAAUGUUUGAUAUUACAAGCUGCUGGGUUGGGGUAGUUUGUUACACAGACUUAUCUGGCAAUAGUAUCUAUUACAAUAGGAUCUCUUUUUUCUGUCAUUCAUUUAGCAGUUGAUUCAACCAUGACUGAUUUGAUUGUGUACCAUGUGCAAGUUAAUAUUGUAGGUAUUGGACUUAUAAAGACACCCAUGGGAAAGCCUUUAUUGUCUGGAUGUCUAGUUUUAAGUCAGGAAAAACAAUGUGUCUAUACAUUAUUAGAAGGCAGGAUAAAAUCUGCUAAGUACCCUAGCAGGCCACUGUAUCUAUGCUCUGGGAGAUUUGAGAAGAGGAUAUUAUGACAGUGGAGGUAUUCAGAAAGGCUGAGGGACUAUGAACAUGCAAGGUAAUUCUGUAAUAACUAGAAUUUAAUUCCUCUGAACACCAAGAAAUGCCAUUUUUGUAAGUUUUUCUAUCCUAUUUUUAGCAAGUAGAGAUUAUGCUCUCAUCAAAAAUUUAAAAAUUAAAUAUCCAUUAUCAAAAAUUGAGAAAUUAGAAUCUCUCCCAGUAAUUCAUUGGUAUGAGCAUGUAAUCAAGACACAUGCAUGAAACUAUAAGAAUGAAACUACAAAAUCUUCUCAUUUUGUUCUUUUUUGUAUCUCCUGGCCUGGAUUAUAAAAAUAAGAUAUCUGUUGUUGGAUUGGUGCAUCUGUCACUUUUUACCAAUUUUUUUGUGGCCACUGCCUGGCAUGGUGGGUAGAGGCUGCCUAAUGGUUAGGCAUUUGGGUUCUGGGGUCAGACAGACCUUGAUGAAGAGCCAAGCCUUUCAAAUUACUUAACUUUUCUACACCUAAUAAUCCUUAUAAAGGGUCAGUCAUGUGGUUACCAAAUGUUACAUUUUACUCAGUUUGGUCUAAACCCUUGAUGAACAACCCUUGAGACCCAGCUAGCUGUCAACUACUGCUACCUACUAUUGUAUUAUGGUCCACAGACUGAUUUCAAAUUCUUUUCGCUUCAGACCACACAAUAGACUUAAGGAAAUUUUUUUUAAAAAGACAUUGUAUUGGGUCUUAGAAUCACUCAUCCAGGGUAAUAACGCUCUAGCCAAGUGAGAACAAUGAAGAGGGAGAAGUGACAAGUCUGCAGGAGUGACAGCAGCCCCCAGCAGGCUGAGAUCUGGGUGCCAGAAACCCAUGGAGCUCACAUGGAGUUCACACAGCGCAGAAUAGCCCAAGUGUUAGAUGGCCACCAUUCUCUAGCACCAGCCACAUCAUUGUAGCUAUCAGGGCUCCCUCUGCCAAGCCCUCCCCACGUUAGCAAAGAAGAGAUCCCAGGCCAUAACUGAGGGAGUCCUGGUUGGGUGAGCAGAGUGCCUCAUCAUAUUCAGCUCAGUGGGACAUACCAGGCUCUCCAUAAACCUCACACUUAAUGGAAUAAGCUCAUUUCAGCUCCAUAUCCCUAGUGAACUUACAGGCAGGUGUGAUUUUAUCUCUCUGAACCUCAGCUUUCCUAAAUAAAAGUGGAGAUGAUAAUACCUAUUCGUCACACUCAGGGUUAAGGAUGGAAUGAAAUACCGUCUAUAAACAGGCUUCUGUAAUGUGCUUAUUUGGUGGGAGGGAUGAAGGGCUAUAAGGCUAUUGCCAUUUUGUGACUCCCCAGAUGUGCUAAGGUAUUUACAUCUCAGCAGAGCUAAGCAAACCUGCAGUCUAAGUGGUAAGACAUAGGCGAAGGAUUGUACACCUUUUCAUUCUGAGAAAGGAAAAAGAAACCGUUCGCCUCAGGAACACUUUUUAGCUUUUCUAAAUCCACCCUCAUACAGUGCAGUGGUAUUCACCGUGAUGGUGACAAGAGGACUUACAGGUUCAUUCUCACUCUUGUGCACAGCAGCUGUCUCAGGAAAAUGAAUGGUAGGCUGUCACCAGAGUGCUUUUCUGAGUAUGAUUUAAGCAUCUUCCUUUUCAAAAGCAAGUUCUGCUUUUUUUUUCAUUUUAAACCAAUUUAAUACCUUUGUUCAGUACCAGCCAUUAUUAAUUUCUCUCAUGCACAUAUUUCAAAUUCCUCACAUGACAGUUUUGAGAAACUAAUGAAAAUUAGAGUGUGUUAGCAUAUCACAUUCCUGCAGAGACCUGCUAAUACAUUCAAUUAUACUUAGUAAUGGUAAUGGAGACUACAGAGAAAAGCCUUGCCAUUUAUACCUGCUUGCCUGAGCAUUCUCUCGCUUUCUCUCUCUCUCUCUCGCUCCCUCCCUCUCUCUCCCCACCAACUAUUUGGAAGAAAUAUAGCAUAAUGCAAAGGAAGUCAUUUUUGAUGCUAUUUUUAAACGUGUCUAUUUCUGAAAAUGCAUUGCUUCUUGAUAAGAAACAGGAUAGGAUAGUGGUGGCACACGUAACUUACUUCUUAUUUGUCAGUUCGGAGCAUUAGCAUUAGUCCAUUUAUCUAAACUACUGAAAAUUUUCCUUCUGCUCACCAAAGGCUUCAAAGAAAUUUAAUAAAGGUAUUUUUUUCUGCCUAAAUAUAUACUUCGGCAAUUUGAUUUUGUUUUAAAGUAGGAUAAUUACAUUUUCUCCAUCCAUUCUGUGAAUCACAGUUCCCUUGCGAAUUCCUUUGAAAACCCUGAUUAGGAAUAGAAGAUGUGAGUGACUGGUGUGUGAUCGUGUUGAUGUUUUCUCGUCUCCUGAGCCUGGUUUGAAAUUCAGCUGUGCCUAGCAGGGCUUGCCCUCAGUUUUGAGGCAUUAUUUUGAGAUGUGUGGGCUCCAGUAACUGUGUGUGUGUGGCCAGCAGGUUGGCCAACUCAUCUUCUGGCAAAUAAGUGUGGGGGACCUCAAUCCUUGAUGUCAAACACUUUUAUAGCCUAUUAUGGAAUAAAUUAAAUGCAGAUUUAUUCUUCAUAAAUGUGUCAAUUUCAAUAUUUUCUGUUUUACAUGAUGAACUUCUGGAAUUCAGUGCUAUUAAAUUGAUUUUGUGUUACCUGUAAUAUGCAUUUUGACAAAAAAUUUAACAAUACAUUGCUUUACUAGAUAAUGACUUAGUAAGCUAGUGUUUUCUAAUAUGUAUAUUCAUUUGUUUGCAUCAGAUCAAAUACUGGCUUAUUUUUCCCAGUGAGAUGGAAAAAUUAGGACAGAUACAUAGACUUUGGCUGACCUGGGUGAGUUCUGUGCCAGGCAUUGUGCUAUCUAUUGUGAUUCUAAAGAUAGACAAGGCAGGGUUAAUUAUUUAAGCUGCAUAUUGUGAGUACUUGGCAAAUGAAAGUUAUUCAUUUUCUGACCUUUUUUGAAUUUUCUAGUCUUGGAAUCCAUGACAGGAAGCCAGAAUUUCUAGCUUUGAUGUGGUUUCAAUUUGACGUAAUCUAAGCAAAAUACGGCUAGUUCGGGCACACAAUUUUUCCUUUUCCCAAGAUAUUCUCAAAGUGAGGAAGGAACUCUGAUGUACACACAGAAACAGGCUUAACAUUUCUGGAGGCUCGGAAGUCCAAGGUCAAGCCAUUGGCAGAUUCAGUGUCUGGUGAGUGCCUGCUUGCUGGUUCAUAGAUGGCGCCUUCUCGCUCUGCCCUCACAUGGUAGAAGGGGCAUGGAAGCUCUCUGAAGUUUCUUUUAUAAGGGCAUCAGUCCCAUUCAUGAGAACUCCACUCUUAUGCCUUAGGCACCACCCAAAAGUUUCACCUCCUAAUAUCAUCCCCUUGGUGGUUAGGAUAUACACAUAUGAAUUUUGGAGGGACACAAAGAUUCAGUCUGUAAAUUGGUGAGAAGGUUAAGUGAAGAUUCUUUGUUCUAUUUUUGUAUAGAUUCUUUGUAUUGAUCUUUGCAUUUUUUAAAAGUUUGAAAUUAUUUCCAAAUAAAAUAUCUUUAAAAAUGGGGAUAAAAUAGACUUCUCACAUGCAUCCAAAGGGGACUUACACAGGUGGUAAAAGAUGAUUCUUGUCACUUUGUUCAAAGGAAUAGUAUAAACCUUUCAGGCCAGUCCUAUGACCUCUGGGGUCAGUUCAAGGAUCUCUUCAGAAGCCUCUCCAGUGUCCCAGCCCAGUCCAGUGAGGCUGGGCACAUUUUAUCCAGAGGAUGUUAAGAGGAUAGUCUGGGAAUCAGUAUUAUUUCAUAGCUCCUUUUUGGAACCACAGAGGUAGCUGUCGCUGCUUAAAGCCACCAAAACCAGUAGUGCCCAAAGUGCAAGUUCACAGUUAGAUGUGGAAUUGUGUCUCUUCACCCUUUGAAUCUUUUCCCACAAGAUGAUGGUUUAUUUAUUUAUUCAUAUAUAUAUAUAUUUUUAUGAGUACAAGAUGAUGAUUGAUUUAGCAACUGAGAUAAUUGAUACUAUUCAUCUCAAAGUGUAGCAAACCUUAGUGAGAAAGAGAAAACAGUGGUUAUUAAAGGACUUAGCACAGAUUUCUGCUCACCUAUGUACUUAAAAAUGAUUUACUAAUUGGAAUAAUAUGAGAGGCAUUAAAGGCAUUACGGGUGAGAUUGUCAUCUCCUACUGGUUUUUUUUUUCCUACUUUCAAGUCAGAACGUGGGUGGAAGAGAGCAUUCUUUGAGCACAUGGAAUUAAGGUAAGAAUUGGGCAAAACAUGAAUGGGGAUCAUGUUUAUUUUGUAAGAAUUGAUCUCAAUCUUCUUUGGCUAUGUACUAAUGAUGCAAGUACUAGCUAAUAGUUAUUGAGUGUUCUGGGGACACAUUGUGCUAAACCCUUGUAUGGAUCAGCUAAUUUGAUCUGUGUUCGUUUUAGAGAUGAGGAAACAGGCACAGAGAUAUAAUUUACUCAGUUAAUGAGUGGUAAUUAUUCCAGAGCCUGAACUACUAAAGCAGAUUGACUCUGAGAUUAAGGGAAUUUAAUACAGAAUAAAAUAAUGAGUUUAGAAGACAUCCUCUCAAAGGCAAACUUCCUUAUAGCAAACACUGUAGAUUAUGGCUUUGUAACAGAAUGGACUGAAACAUUUAGACCAGUGUGUUCUUAACUGCUUUAUAAUUGGCAGAUGGCAGUUGGUGUGCUGUGAGUUGUUAAUAGGUUAAUAGGUAUUCUUUGGGGAAAUGAGUUUCCUAAUCAAGUAAAAUUGGUAAACAGGGCAUGUUCUCAGUACAUUGAAAAAAAAACUUUAACAUUAUUGAACGUGGCUGGGAAAUUUUUUUUUUCAUGUCCCUGGUUCUGUGAAUUUCUUUAUCAUCAAUUGUUUUGCUAUCAACAAAGCUUAUCAAUGUGACCUACAAGAUUCCCCAAAAGAAUACAUAAUGACAAGAGAGCAAAACAACAGGAUUUGUAUUGGUAUUUGUAUACUAGCAUUUUUUUAUCACUAACUUGAGUCUUCUAUACUAGCUCAACUUCUGGCUGAUAAAUGGGAUGGUUUGGAUGAUGGAGAGGUUUUCAUUAGAAAGAUAACAGAUUCUUAGGAGUGAUUAGGAAAAGAAGAAAGCAUAAUUUUAUCUGAAGCUUUCCCAAAGUAUACAAGAAUGAGUGUAUUCCGUUUAGCAAUUUCUGUUAAAUUGCUUUCAUUAAACCAAAAUGAGAGAAGUAGUGGCUAAAGUAAUAAGCUAUAUCAAAUAAUUUAUUGGAAAUAUCUAGCAAUAGGGUGUAUAUUUAUAGCAUUAGGGUGUAUUUCCCAUUCCACCCCUCCCCAUCACCAGUGAUGGAUUUUCAUAACUUGUAGUAGCUGGAAACAGGACUGGGAAAAGCUAUGGUAAAUCUCCUGUAGGUCACUGCCCUUUUGUGACUGUGGAAAGAAACCAGCUCUGCUGGGAGGGAGGGAAGAUGGCCAGGACGUCCUAAUAGGCCAUUUUCUGUCUUCUCCCCAUGAUUGUUCUCAAUCACUUGGCAAUCACGAUGCUAUUAGGAGCACCCUGACCGAAGACACUCAGAUGCUUAGCCUUGCCAUUAACAACAUUGACAGGAAGCGUUGAGGUGGCUGCACAGCUGAUGGGUCUUGAGAGCCUUGAAUUAGAAGUCGGCCUGUCCUUAUGACAUGCCGAAAUGCCUCAGCUCCUUCUGCAGAAGGAUGUUCAGGCAAGAAUUGGAACUGUACAUAUGUGAAUGUCUAAAUUAUUUCAUCUCCUAUAUCUCUUCAUAUUCUAUGAUUUAUUACUUGGAAGUGCAGUAAGUCAUGGACGUUGUCUGUAUGGUAAUGGCUUGUAUUGAACCUUGAAGUUCACCAUGCCCUGGGAGAUGGUCAGAGUGACGUGCAGAACCCCUUCCUUUCCUAGACCUUGCCCUGCAGCCACCCUGCUUCCCUACCAUGCUGAGCCAGUGUCGGGCAAAACAGACAUUUCCAGGGUUUGUCACCCCAUCAUGGUCCUUUAGGCUUGUUAGAGUUCAUGAUCUGGUAGUGAUAUGGUUUGGCUCUGUGUCCCCACCAAAACUUCAUCUUGAAUUGUAACCCCCCAUAUUGGAGGAGGGACCCGGUAGGAGGUAAUUGGAUCACAAGGGUGCAGCUCCGCUCUCACUGUUCUCGCGAUAGUGAGUGAGUUCUCAGAAGAUCUGGUGGUUUGUGUGUGGCUCCUCCCCAGUCCUUCUCUCUUUUCCUCCUGCUCUGGCCGUGUAAGUUGCGGCUACUUCGCUUCGCCUUCCACCUGGAUUGAAAAUUUUCUGAGGCCUACGUAGCCAUGCUUCCUGUGCAGCCGUGGAACCGUGAGUCAGUUAAACCUCUUUUCUUUAUAAAUUAGCCAGUCUUAGAUGGUUCUUUAUAACAGUGCAAGAACCAGCUAAUACAGGUAGGAACUGGGAAGUCAGGCACAGGUUUCUUUGGGACAGUGUUUUAAGACAGAUCUUGCAAGUUUCCUUUUUACAACACCCUUUUUCUGCCAAGGUGCUCAAUGAGGUUGUGCGUAGAUUUGUCCCUUAAGUGUGGGAUCAGGAGUAUAUGAAUCUCCAGAUUGGCUACCGGUGUGAAAGUUCUGGAUGACAAAAGGCAAUUAUAUGUAUACAUAUUCCCUUUAGAAGCAAAAUCUACCAACUUUGUUUUCUUUUCCUGGAAAGAGAACAUGAAAAACAAACUAGAAUCUGGAGAUUCCUAAUAAUUGUCAUCCUUAAAGGGCAUUUACACCUGAGACAACCUUCAGAUUUUUUAUGAAAGAAUGUAAUUUAAAAAUAUAAAAUAAAAAAAGAAAGUACUGCUUUUCACAUGGAAGUAAAUGCAUAAAAUAUCUGGGAAAACACAUCUGCUCUCAUUGCAGAAUGAAAUCAGACAUUGUCGUGAUGGGAGAACAAUCUGUUAAAUUUUAAGGCAAGAGUUUUCUCUAAAAGUUCUCAUUAAUAUCUUUGAAGUGUAGGAGCAUCAUAUGAUCUCUGAAGAAAUUGCCAGCUCCCAAAUUAUUAGUCACUCUCAAAUGAAUAUCCAUCGUGUAGGAAACUGACUUUUUGGAAGGAGCAAUGCUUAACAUUAACCACAGCAUUCUAUUUGUUAGGAGGACCUUGAUCGUUAAAACCAUUCUUUGUGUUUGUUUGUUUAUUUAUUUGAGAUGGAGUCUCUCACUGUCGCCUGGGCUGGAGUGUAG